AACAAGCAUGAAACUCAAAUGAACAAAUCCUCCCUCCGUCGUUUCAACAAGAUUUAAACUUCAGGAACAGUUAAAUAUUUAAUUUGGGAGGUAUUUCAUCUGUUACAUGUAUCAAGUGAUGAAAUCAGACAAAAACAAAAUGCACGUGGCAUAGAAUUAUGCAAGCCUCUCAAUUAUUUUAUUUAUUUAUAAAAUUGCACAAAGAUAUUGGAGUGCAUGUUGGGAUAUCACUUUGCUCUUAAUCCUUGCUGGCUCGGUCGAAGUGGCGAUCUGAGGCUCUACUAAUUAGCCCCUACACCCUCGAUAAUUUUUACUCCCUCAGUUUUGGGAGACUUGUGGAUAUGUCGGAGGCGAGCGUGAACGAGCAAAUGGAGGGCUGAGGGGGAAGGGAGUGAUUUGUCAUUUAGCCAAUCCCUCCCUCUCUCUCUCUCCUUCUGCCUCAAACAGGGAUGGAGAGAAUAGACAGACAGCUGAAAGGAGGAGUGAGACUGAAAGAAUAGACACAAUCACCCGUCCACGACCCAGUUGAGAUGGGUUGGGAUGAGUUGGACCACAGGGUGAAGAAAAAGCAGCCAACAAGUGCUCAGCAUAUGUGGGAACUCCUUGAAGACUGCUGGAAAAGAAUUCCAGGUGAAGCUGGUUGAGAGAAUGCCAAAAGUGUGCAAAGCUGUCAUCGAGGCAAAGGGUGGCUACUUUGAAGAAUAUAAACUACUAUAACAUGUUUUAACCCCCCCCCACCCCCUGCCUAAGCACAGCCAAAGUUCAUUUUUGUGUCUAGUACUUUACUUCACAAAGAGUUUAAGCAUUUGUUUUGUUUAAGGGGGUCAGGUCCAACAGGUCAAGGGGGUCAGGUCAACAGGUCAAGGGGGUCAGGUCAACAGGUCAAGGGGGUCAGGUCAACAGAGCAGUAAAUAAGAACACAUAAAAAAAAAAGAGAGUAUUUGAUAAGAGUAGAGAGCUAGCUGUCUGUCCAUAUUAUAAUAACACAUCAUUACUUUAAAAAUUGGACAAGGGAGGUAGGUAGAAGCUGAAGUUGUUCAAUUUGUUAUCCGUGGCAAAAAAAUGUUUUGCUACAGUGUGAACUAAUGAAUAUGACCCAGAAAUCCUAGCCAAUAGAAACAUGGAAUCAUUCAACUGUACCAAAACUAACUCAGUAGAAAAACAUUGGUAUAUCUACACUAUAUAUACACAGAAGUAUGUGGACAACCCUUCAAAUGAUUGAAUUCAGCAACACCCGUUGCAGGGGCGGCAGGUAGCCUAGUAGUUAGAGCGUUGGACUAGUAACCAGCAGGUAGCCUAGUGGUUAGAGCGACAGGUAGCCUAGUGGUUAGAGCGUUGGACUAGUAACCAGCAGGUAGCCUAGUGGUUAGAGCGUUGGACUAGUAACCAGCAGGUAGCCUAGUGGUU
rnacentral:lncRNA from 1 species